GAAUCAAUAUGUCGGUCGUGCCUCGGUACGUACUGGCUUAUUGGUUUCUCCUUUCUGAAGAACCAUGAUGUCAUUUAUUUGGUGUCGCGGGAAAUCAGGACUGUUACUUUGAAAAAUUAGAGUGUUUAAAGCAGGCUCACGCUUGAAUACAUUAGCAUGGAAUAAUGAAAUAGGACGUUUGAUUCUAUUUUGUUGGUUUCUAGGAUCGACGUAAUGAUAAUAGGG
rnacentral:rRNA from 1 species